CCGACAGAAAGCAUGCAGGCCUCAGACAAGUGAAGUGUGAGGGCCACAUGGCCACAGCAGGGCAGAACAGCAAAAACAAGAAAGGAAUGAAGACUUGUGCCAAAGUGCUCCCACGGCUGACACUGCGUCCUGCAAGUGACUAAACUCGACGAAGGCGAAGCCCCGGCUCUGACCUGGAGACAGCAUUCAGAUACAGACGCAGUGGCAGGUAAAAAAGAAAGGAACUCGCUCACACACGCUCUCUCUCUCGCGCUCUCUCUUACACACACACACGCAUACACACACACGAGCUCAUGAGGACUGCAAAUGCUGAAGGAGGGCUCCGGAAACAGCAAGAAUGUGGCCUCUGGAAUCCAGCUGCUCAGGUCCAGACCCCAAGUCCCUCUGCCACUUGCUGGUCUGCCACUCAUGGGCUGUGGGACCUGGAGCAAGCUGCUUCACUGCUGGGGGCCUGGCUUCCUCAUCGGUAGGAUGGAAACACAGAGUGCCUUCCCCGCAGGGUGGCUGUGAGGACUAAAUGAGACCUGGCAUGUGGCCCACCCUGUGAUAAAUCCCUGACACAUGUCAGCAUGGAGCUACUGUCUGACCCUGCACAGGGAGGCUGGCCCAGACUGGAGAAGCUCCCAAAUAAACAGGUGGAGGUUUUUCUUUGA